AUGACUUUGAUCUCCGUCCUCAUCUGGACUCUCCUCUGCUGCUGCUUCACAGAGUCCAGAGGCCAGGUCACAGUGACUCAGCCUGGAGCAGUGAGCUCUGCUCUGGGAGGCUCCGUCUCCAUCAGCUGUAGGAUUAGUCAGAAUCCUAGAUAUCUAUCCUGGUACCAACAGAGAGAUGGAGAAACUCCUAAACUGCUCAUUUAUAGUACUAGCACUCGACAAUCAGGGAUUCCAGAUCGUUUUACAGGCAGUGGAUCAAACUCUGACUUCACUCUGACCAUCAGUGGAGUCCAGACUGAAGAUGCAGCAGUUUACUACUGUCAGAGUUAUCACUAUAUCAACAGUCAGCAAGUGUUCACACAGUGA